rnacentral:rRNA from 1 species
CCUACGGGUGGCAGCAGUGAGGAAUAUUGGUCAAUGGACGAGAGUCUGAACCAGCCAAGUAGCGUGAAGGAUGACUGCCCUCUGGGUUGUAAACUUCUUUUAUAAAGGCAUAAAACGCGGCACGUGUGCCUUUUUGCAUGUACUUUAUGAAUAAGGAUCGGCUAACUCCGUGCCAGCAGCCGCGGUAAUACGGAGGAUCCGAGCGUUAUACGGAUUUAUUGGGUUUAAAGGGAGCGUAGAUGGGUUGUUAAGUCAGUUGUGAAAGUUUGCGGCUCAACCGUAAAAUUGCAAUUGAUACUGGCAGUCGUGAGUACAGUUGAGGUAGGCGGAAUUCGUGGUGUAGCGGUGAAAUGCUUAGAUAUCACGAAGAACCCCGAUUGCGAAGGCAGAUUACUAAACUGUGACUGACAUUGAUGCUCGAAAGUGUGGGUAUCAAACAGGAUUAGAUACCCGAGUAGUC